rnacentral:rRNA from 1 species
CCAUCCCUAGAGAUAGGGCUUUCCCUUCGGGGACAUAAGUGACAGGUGGUGCAUGGUUGUCGUCAGCUCGUGUCGUGAGAUGUUGGGUUAAGUCCCGCAACGAGCGCAACCCUUGAUCUUAGUUGCCAGCAUUGAGUUGGGCACUCUAAGGUGACUGCCGGUGACAAACCGGAGGAAGGUGGGGAUGACGUCAAAUCAUCAUGCCCCUUAUGACCUGGGCUACACACGUGCUACAAUGGAUGGUACAAAGGGCAGCGAAGCCGCGAGGUGAAGCGAAUCCCAUAAAACCAUUCUCAGUUCGGAUUGUAGGCUGCAACUCGCCUACAUGAAGCCGGAAUCGCUAGUAAUCGCGGAUCAGCAUGCCGCGGUGAAUACGUUCCCGGGCCUUGUACACACCGCCCGUCACACCACGAGAGUUUGUAACACCCGAAGUCGGUGGGGUAACCGUAAGGAGCCAGCCGCCUAAGGUGGGACAGAUGAU